rnacentral:rRNA from 1 species
CUCGUAGGCGGCUUCGUAAGUCAGAGGUGAAAUCUGAUGGCUCAACCAUCAACCCGCCUUUGAAACUACAAAGCUUGAGUUCAUGAGAGGAAAGUGGAAUUCCUGGUGUAGCGGUGAAAUGCGUAGAUAUCAGGAGGAACACCAGUGGCGAAGGCGGCUUUCUGGCAUGAAACUGACGCUGAGGAGCGAAAGCCAGGGGGAGCGAACG